AAUGGAAUCAUGUCCUCUUGUGUUCCAAUAUUCACGUUUCUUCGAUCCAUUUUCUGUCAUUUGGCUGAUUUUUCUUUCGUAAUUUAUAUAACGAAAAAAUAAGCCAAAAUUAAUUUUAUUGUGACCAAGAAAAUAUAAGACGUGUUAAAAAAAAAUUGUAGCAAAUUUGGAGAACAUGUAUGCUAAGAUCUGCCUUCCGACCAGCUCCAGACUUGUGUCUGUCUUUGCAUU